GCCCCGUGUUUCCUGGCUGUGAGGAGGCAGAGACAUUUCCCUGCUCCUCACACCCCACGAUGCUCGACCUCCACCAAGAGAAGACGGCGGGGUGCAGGCCACCCGUCUGCUGGCUGACACAGCCCCACGGAAGGUUCUGGAAACUGUGAGCGAAACUGUUAUCCCUGAUGAGAGAGAGCAAGUCAUCUCUUCACCCCACCGAGACCUGAGAUCACUGCCAACCCUGGCAGGGAUCCACCUUAUGCCGGGCAUCGGGAAAGCACUGUACACACAGCUGUUAAUUCCUGGGGGAGCGGACGAGCCCGAGUUCCUGCUCCACCCAUCCCUCCUGGUGGCCUGGGAUACAGGCAUUGCCGGUUCUGGUGGGCCCAAGUGGUGUUUCCUGACUGCUGUUGUAGAGUUAGGCCAACCGAGACAGUGUCUGGGCUUCCAUUUCUCUCCGGCCACAUUUGACAGCUUGGUCAGGCUGUGUGGUUCUGAGCUCCAGCUACGGUGUCGGGGUUCUUGCACGUGGUGAGGGGUGGAGUGUGGCUUGUGUCUUUCUGUGGACAUCCUGGUAUUGGCAUCCAGAUCUCUUUCUUGGAAACAUCACUUGCAUGUUCAAAUACAUGAAUUCAGUUUGAAUUUGAGUAUUUAUUUUAAAGCUUGGGUCCUGUUACCUCUAAAAUAUGUCUAAGUGUGCUAUAGAAGACUUAGAAAGAAUAUACUGCUG
rnacentral:lncRNA from 1 species